rnacentral:rRNA from 1 species
GACGAACGCUGGCGGCGUGCUUAACACAUGCAAGUCGAGCGAGGCCCCUCCUUCGGGAGGGUGUCCUAGCGGCGAACGGGUGAGUAACACGUGGGCAACCUGCCCUCAGCUCUGGGAUAACUCCGGGAAACCGGGGCUAAUACCGGAUACGACCUCCACGGGCAUCUGCGGAGGUGGAAAGUUUUUCGGCUGAGGAUGGGCCCGCGGCCUAUCAGCUAGUUGGUGGGGUAGUGGCCCACCAAGGCGACGACGGGUAGCCGGCCUGAGAGGGCGACCGGCCACACUGGGACUGAGACACGGCCCAGACUCCGACGGGAGGCAGCAGUGGGGAAUAUUGCGCAAGGGACGAAAGCCUGACGCAGCGACGCCGCGUGAGGGACGAAGGCCUUCGGGUUGUAAACCUCUUUCAGCAGGGACGAAGCGAAAGUGACGGUACCUGCAGAAGAAGCACCGGCCAACUACGUG